CAACGCAGUGGAGGACUGCACAGUCCCAUAGGCCUCCCUCUCUCCCAACCUUGGCUUUAUUUUGGUGUGUAUUUCACACCUGGCUGAUAGCGAAAGACAAACUAAGGGGCUGUUUACUUCCCCUGGGGAAAACGAAUUUUGGGAUGGGAAAGUAAAGAGUCACUCUGGAGCUGUCAACAGAUCACAGAAGCUGGUCAACAGCACCAGCACCAAACCUGCAGAACGGGACGCCACAGCCUGAAAACACAGCAUACAUCUACUGAGAAGGGCUCACUACAUGCAGUCAGUACCUGAUACCAGAUUGUCGAGAUACUGUAUUUUUAGAACAAAGUCCUUUUGAAGAGUCAUUUGGAGGAAGGUAGAGCACACAUGUACCCCAGCACAGCCCCGGGAAUAUCCCACUACAUCCCACUCUCCACACCCAACAAUGAAGUAAUACAGAAUGUGUCUAUUGUGGCAAACAGACACACACAGGGAAAUCCAUUCAACCGCACAGAGGACUUGCAGUCGUCAGUUUUUCCAAGUCAAUACAAAGACCAGUCCCAGAGAGCCUACAGCUAGAGGGGUACCGCAUGGUGAAUCCACCUGUAGCUUUCCAGAGAGGACACUUGCUGUAGCAGAGGCAGACCGUGAAAACCACUCCAUGGAACAGCCAGUGCAAGACAAAUACCCUGCCUGAAGAAGAAUACCUAGAUUCAACUCUGAAGAGGAUCUGAUCCAACCCCAAAACAGCACACAACGGCAACCACGUUUGUCU